GGGUUUUCAACUUUCAAGUUUCAACCAAUACAUACUCUAUAGUGUAAGCAGAACAAAAGAAGAAAAGGUUUGGGUAUUUGAUUUACAUACAAAGAUGAAUACUGAAUCAACAAGAGCUUCAAAGAAGAAGGUACCAUGCAGAAGACUUGGAGGGUAUCUUAAAGAGCAGAAAGGAAGACUAUACAUAAUCAGAAGAUGUGUAGUUAUGCUUCUAUGCUGGCAUGAAUGAGUCAUUUCCAACUAGUAUAGUCAAGGUUUUAAAUUGUCGUUAUAUUUGUUGUUGUAUGCGGUCUAUUAAGAGAAAAUGUGGUCGAUAUAUUCACAAUUGCGACGAGUUCUAGAUAUUACGGAAACAUUUGUGGUGACAGUCGUGCACCUAGAUUUAAAACCUGAUGUAAUUUUAAAUUUCAUUUUGUUUUUGCUCAAAUGGUGGGUGGGUCAAUUCAAGAGAACAUUGAGCAAGACCAUCAUUAGUAGUUAAGGAUCCAAGUUCAAGCAUGCACAAAAAGUGCGUAUGGUUUUGCUCUUUGUUGCUCCCUAUGUAAAUGGCAAAGAAAGAAGUUAAGACAAUUUUCCUUCAUGUCAUGUCUCAAUGCAUGUUUUCUACAUGCAGAAGCUUAGUAGUUAAAUUUUCAGUUUCUAUUGUGUACCUGGAAUAUACUUGUUUUUGUUGAAAACAAAAGCUUUUAUUCACACAUGAAGUAUACUUAGAU
rnacentral:lncRNA from 1 species